GAGUUUGAUCUUGGCUCAGAUUGAACGCUGGCGGCAUGCCUUACACAUGCAAGUCGAACGGCAGCAUGAUCUAGCUUGCUAGAUUGAUGGCGAGUGGCGAACGGGUGAGUAAUACAUCGGAACGUGCCCUGUAGGUGGGGAUAACUAGUCGAAAGAUUAGCUAAUACCGCAUACGACCUGAGGGUGAAAGGUGGGGGACCGCAAGGCCUCAUGCUAUAGGAGCGGCCGAUGUCUGAUUAGCUAGUUGGUGGGGUAAAGGCCCACCAAGGCGACGAUCAGUAGCUGGUCUGAGAGGACGAUCAGCCACACUGGGACUGAGACACGGCCCAGACUCCUACGGGAGGCAGCAGGUGGGGUAAUUUUGGACAAGUGGGCGAAAGCCUGAUCCAGCAAUGCCGCGUGUGUGAAG
rnacentral:rRNA from 1 species